UACAGAGGGGGCAAGCGUUGUUCGGAAUUACUGGGCGUAAAGGGCGCGUAGGCGGCCUUCUAAGUCGAACGUGAAAUCCCCGGGCUCAACCCGGGAACUGCGUCCGAUACUGGAAGGCUUGAAUCCGGGAGAGGGAUGUGGAAUUCCAGGUGUAGCGGUGAAAUGCGUAGAUAUCUGGAGGAACACCGGUGGCGAAGGCGGCAUCCUGGACCAACACUGACGCUGAGGAGCGAAAGCCAGGGGAGCAAACGGG
rnacentral:rRNA from 1 species